AAAAAAAAAAAAAAAGAAAGAAAGAAAGAAAGGAAGAAAGAAAGAAAGAAAAAGAAAGAAAGAAGGAAAAAGACAUUCUGCUGGCACUCUACAGAAAUAUUGAAUGAAUUCUGCUUAGAGGAUCUCUGAGACUGCUUACUGCUAAGAUUUCUCUGACCAUCCACAUUACAGUAUUGUAAAUCUCAUAGAAUCAUAGAAUUGUUUGAGUUUGAAGGGACCUUUAAAGGCCAUCUAGUCACACCCCUGCAGUGAACAGGGACACCUACAGCUCUAUCAGGGUGCUCAGAGCCCUGUCCAGCCUGACCUUGGGUAUCUGUUUUCCUGGUUCAGAAGAAAGGAAUGAAUUUCAUCCUUUUUAGCCACUCCUCUAAAACAGACAGACAGAUUUUCUCUAUUAUCUCCUGAAACAUAGCACAAACUUAAACACGGGAUAUCUUGUUACAGUGCCUUAGUGCAUUACUAAAAUAAAUUUGUUAAAAUUUACGGUAUCUCUAUAUGAACAAAGAAGGGGGUUUUCAUGUUACCUCGGGAAAAAGGGAAAUCUUUUUGACAUCUGCAGCUCACGGGGAGGGCAGUACUGCGUGGAAGAGAUAUACGUGUGACACGUAUAACCAAGAUGCUCCGAGUUAUGGGAAAACAAACACCAAAGAGUGAGAGAGACUUUUUUACUUAUAUAGAAAUAGCUUCAGGGGAAAUCUGAGGAUUAUAAAACACCAAAAUGCUUGACUGAGAGUUGUUUACUUGGGGAGGGGCACCAGCAACGCACCCUCAGAAUUAUUCUAGUAAACAUGUCUUCAAACCUCUCUUCCACUAGAGGUGAGCUUCUUUUUCCUAGGGCUGUGCCAUCGUGGCCUUGACCACAUAACUCUGUCUCUAAAUUCAUUAAUUAGCAGAAGUGUAUCUCGGCUAUUAAGUGAUUUAUUUUAUGAAAUCAAUAGCUCAUUGAGGAUGUGUUUUUUUUCCACAGCCCUUUCCAGGCUGCUUGGCAACUGUCCCAUAAAUCAGUUCUACCAAGGUGCUGUGCCUUCCAGAGAUAGUCACUUUAAUGGCAGCAAUUUAGUUGUACGGGCCUGAACUUUGAGGGGAAGAGGCACAUGGAAACCAACAGAAUAUAAAACUUGGGAACUUGAUUGGAAAUCUUUCAGGUCCAGUCUUGGAAUCAUAGAAAAUGUAUACAGAUGAUGCUGCUCGUGAAGAAACAAAAAUCUAUUAAAACACCUCCAGUGCAUCAGUAAAAGUGCUGGAAAGAAAUGUGAGUUUUGACUGUUGCUAAGAAGAGAUGUGGCUGUGUACAUUGCACGGGUCCUCUCCAAGUGACAACUCACAGGCAGGGGAAAAGAGACAUCAUUUAGGAGUUGGACUAGAUGGCUUCCAGAGGUCCGUUGCAACCUCAACCAUUCCACAUUUCUGUGAUUAGAAGAGAUUUUAUCUAUCCACUUUGCUGUGGUUCUUACUCUGGUGGCUUUUGAGGAAGCAUUCUCUCCAGGUUUGUCCCACCUGGAACAUGUUGAAACAGCACGAGCAUAGAGAUCAAGUUACCAAAAUCCCAAUGGUCAAAAAAAUGGCAGGUUCAGCUGCAGUUUAUGGAAACAGCAUAAUUGUUAGGGUUCAGAGCUGGCACUGAGCAGAGGAGCUGGCUUCCAACUCAGGAGGUCACUCAAACUUUGGGUUUGGACUGUCCAGUUUCUCUGAGAAAUCAUACCCAAACGCUUCUGUGUGGUGCCAAAACCAGAAAAUAUGUAGGUCUCCUCACUGUAAAAAAUCAAACAAUUAUUACAGGAUCUGGAUAAUCUCCACAUGCACACAAUAGAAGAAGUUUAGGGAAAGUUUUGUUGAAAAGAGGAAAUUUUGUCUCAUUAAAUUUGGUGGCAAAAAAUUCCAAAUUCAAGCAUGAUUUCACCCUAUGUUACACUCUUGCCAUUGUGUAGAUUUUUGGUUAUAGAUAAGGAUCAGCCAGGGUUUAUAACUAAGUUUAUUUUGUAGUAAGUCUGUAGCAGCAAUUAAAGUUCCAAAACAGUUUUCACAUACUAGUAAUUUAAAGAAAAGUACAUCUCUGAAGAUGUAAUUUUCCAUUUUAAUCUCCAUCCAAAGAUAUUCUUUAACUUUGGGCAAAUUCCUGUCAAACAGUUUGAGUUAUAAUUGUAUGAAAAAAGAUACUCUGCCAGAUGUAAGAGAAAGAUGACUGCUGACAUUUUUAUUUCUUUUCUACAAGAUAAGCCAUGAGAGCUGACCUCUGAAGAACAGUGUAUAAGUAACCACUCAGGAACUUGUUCAUAAAUGGACUGGAAAAGUAAGUGGAAAAAAAGCUUAAAUUAUUAGCCUGAAUGUUGGGUAAUAAGAGUGAACAGUAGAAAUAUGGCAAUUAGAUAUUUAAAUUAUUUUUGAUUCUCAGCCUUCUGCCUGAACCAUACCUGAGACAGUAAAGCUAGUACAUAUGGAACAGAUAUCAGAGCAUGGGUUAUUUCAACAUCCAGUGCAAUAAUUAUGGCUAUAUUCAGUAUCACAAAUCUCGAAAUUGCAUCAAGCAACUUAAAAAAUAAAUUAAUUAUACUAUCACAAGGCAAACUUGGAAGAAAGUAAUUAUUCUUAACAUAGAAUAGUUCUGAGUAAAGAAUUAAUUUAUUGAUUUAGUAGUGUAGAAUUUGAUUACUUAACGUAUAAAUUCUCCCAGGAAUAGAGUCCUGGGGCAUCCUGAGAGGAGUGACUGAAUAACUGGAGACCUUAACAUGUAGAGGUCUUUGUAGGGUGCUCAGUGUAUCGAGUAAAAGAAAUCAUUAAUCCAAGCUACCAUCUAGCUGUGUUUGCCAUCUUGACUACUCAUCACAAAAAUUUGUCAGACUUAUUCAGAACAAAAAAUACAGAUGUAAUUCCCCACAAGUCCCCAGAGGUGUUUUUCAGUAUGGUUAGUUAUAUAUGGAAGAAACAUCAACAUUUCCUUGAUGCCUGACAGCACAAAAUCCUCAAAUAAAUAGCUACAAUAUUGGGUCUCAUAGUGAAAUUUUUAUAAUGUGCCAUACAAUUUUUAAUAUCUACAACAUAUGCAAAAUAGGAUCAAUUUUCUUACACUAGCACAGCAAAUGCGCCUCUAAGAUCCAGUUAAUGGUAUUAAGGUGCACUGAUAUAUUAUUUUAUUUUCUGACUUUAUCUAUAUUAAAAACAAAAUAAACUGAGAUUUUUAUUCCUCCUUACACCUGUAGAAGUAAUUCUUUAUGUGGUCUGAAUGAAGAUAUGAUAAUGGAUCAUCUUAGUAGCAAUAUAUCACUAUGAAUAUGCAUUUGUUUUUCACGAGAAGGAUAUUUUAGGAUGGGGGGAUAGCACUAGUUCUUAAAAGUAGACUAAAAUUAAAGCUUCUGAGUCCCAGGUGGAGGCAUUAAGAAACUAAAAUACCUGAGUUGAGGAAACCCCCAGCUUUGUGAUCAGGGUUAGACCUUCCAUCCGUAACACUAGAUAUAGAAGGAAAAAUACAACAAUCUGUAUUGCUGUGGCUCCUGGAAAAGCUGAAAGUGUGGGUACCAGUUAUUUACUGGACAGCAUGAAACCACAAAAUAAAUUUAACAGUUUGGAGCCCUGAUCCUUCUCAUUUAUGUUUCUGUUUUGCACUGUCCUUAGAAAAAACACAAGUCUAAAAAAAGCCAAGGAUAUAAUACCCUGAUUUCCACCAUCUACUUAGCCUUUGAUAGAAGUUUUCUUAUUGAUUUCAAUAACUUGAGCUGCAUAGAAUCAAUCUUGAUAUGCUUUGCUUUAUUGAGACUACUCCCAACCUUGAAGUUAAGCAUUAAGGCUCAGAUUCUCGUGGGUAUCUACAUGUUUAAUUAUUUUCCCACAUCAGAACUAGCAGAUAAAGAUGUGUUCCAAAUUCUUGGCCAUAAGGGCAUGACAGUUCCUAGACACUUGUUUCUGAACCAGGCAGCCUGCCAGGUGGAAGGCUUAUUUGCCUCAAAACUUCAAGAAUCCAGUGUGUCAGGCUGGC
ensembl:lncRNA